CACGUAGGGUGCGAGCGUUGUCCGGAAUUAUUGGGCGUAAAGAGCUCGUAGGCGGUGUGUCGCGUCGGCCGUGAAAACCUGCAGCUUAACUGUGGGCUUGCGGUCGAUUCGGGCAUCACUGGAGUUCGGCAGGGGAGACUGGAAUUCCUGGUGUAGCGGUGAAAUGCGCAGAUAUCAGGAGGAACACCGGUGGCGAAGGCGGGUCUCUGGGCCGAUACUGACGCUGAGGAGCGAAAGCGUGGGGAGCGAACAGG
rnacentral:rRNA from 1 species